UCAGGCUUUGUCACCUCUCCCUUCCUCAUGUUUCUCCGUUUCCCCUUCCCCGCUGUCUCUGUCAGUUUUGUCUGUCAUGUCCUGUCUGUGUGUGUUUGUGGGUGUGUCUGGCUCAUCGCCACCUGCAGCAUCUCGCACCUGUGGCUCAUGAAGCAAUCAACCUAUGCAGUGAAAUACUCUGGUUCUUCCUCCGCUCUUUGCUAGUUUAUCAUUUUACCUUUUGUGUUUCUUCCUGUGUGUUGAGUCGCUGCCAACCCUGCAUACUUGUUUGCUUGCCCACCAGCCUUCCUGCCAGUCCUGAACAGAGCUCUAGGACUCUUAAGUACAUUUUCACUUAAGUAACAUUCUUCUUAAAUCUUCUUCUACAAUCAGCCUGAUAGAACUAUUUAAAUCUGUUCAUUAUGUUGGUUGUUUAGUGUGGGUUACUGAUUAACUUUAAAAUGUAGGCUAUUUGACUGUUAUCUGUAAUGAAAUUGAGCAACUGUAAAGUAAAUGAUCCCCUUAACUGCUGUUGUAAUCACUCAGUUUAAAGUGCUCCUACACAGCUGAAGGCUUCAUUUUAGUUUCCCUUUAAGGUGAACUGGAGCGUUUUGCUCAUCACUGUGAGAGGAGGUCAGGCAUGCAAAAAAACAAUAUUCAAAUGAAAAAAUUGAAUACCUACCUGAUGAUUGAGUAUUCGUGUGGCUAAAAAGGGGGUAAAUAAAGCCGGUCUAUGCCAGAAAGAACAACAUCAUGCAGCAUUAUGAAGUGCUAAUUAAAGCCCACAUCACAGACAUCAUCUAAAAAUAACACAUAAUGGACUAAUGGCAGAAUGAAAGAUAAUCAAUUACGGUGAUUAAAAAAAUAAAGAUUGGAGUUAACAGGGUUAGAGUUGCUUCUAAUGCAAAUAAUUUAUUAACAAACUGAUUUAUAAAUGACUAAAUGAACAGCAUGUGUCUUGUUGGGAGCGGUAAAGUACUGUGUACUGAUUUCUGUUCUUGACAAGUUUUUAAACUUUAGUCUGAAAUAUUGUUUCAAGUCUGUGGUGGUGGUGGUGAUCAAAGCCAGCAGUUAGAUCCUGAUCAGCUCGGCUACCGAACACCUUCACAGCAGCUGAGCUCCACUCUGAUGUUAAACUAGGAUUAACUUUCAAUUUCAUGGCUUCAAAGUCGCUUUGAUCAAACAACCAGGUUUCUUUUCAUUUCUAGUAAUUUCCAACAACUUCACCUCCAUUUAAAGCUUUAGUCAACGGGACUAAAUGGAAAUUAAUUAUUUAAGCCGGAAAUUAGUGUUCAUCAGAAGUUGCUAUAUUUAUUACUAUAUAUUAAACACUUCUUACAGAAUUCAGCUUCAGAGCAAUGUUUUUGAUUACACUAGUAAAUCAACAAUGAAAGGUUCAAACUAUUAGAAAACAGACACAUUUUACUCUGAUCAUUAGCCAAUUAGCAGUAAACGCUGUUGUGGUUUUGGUCUUUUUUUUAUGUAUCCACUCAUGAUGUUUUUCUCUCCCUGUAUUCUCAUUUGUCUGUGAUUUGUGUUUCAUUUUGUCAGUCAUUAAUUGGUUCAGUGUUUUCUGUUUUUAGUUUGUUAAAUUCUCCCUUGUGUGUUGCUGUGUACAUGACUUCCUUUGUUAUUUUGUAGUGAUCUGUUUCAUGUCAUCUGAUUAACCUGAUGUGUUACACCUGUCCGCUCCCUUCCUGCUCGUUUGCCCUUGAUUAAAUGUGCUCUGCUCUGUUUAGUCUUUGCUGUGUCUCUGUGUGCUCCCGGCUUUUGGGACUCAGUUUGGACUUUUGUUUUGGAUUAAACAUUAUUACUGCACCAGCA